GAGAGAGAGAGAGAGAGAGAGAGAACCCCAUUGUAGGGAGAGAGUGAAGCUCAAAACUUACAUGGAAAAUGAAGAAGACUUGAAGGAGUUAAGGGAAAUCAUCUCUAAUUUUGAGAUUUAAGCUUGAGGUGAGCAACAUGAUGCCCAACCCCAACUGUAACGAACCCAAGAAAGAAUGUUAAGUUUGUGGAGUUAACCAUGACACGCCUCACGAACGAGGCCUUAGUUUUAGAACUUUCAUUUUGACCCUUUUGUCAUCUUUUGAUGGUCAUGUUUGACCUUAUCUGUAUAUAAGCUAUGGUUUUGUAUAAAUAUGUUGUUGCAUAGACCUAGACAUAGAAUGUCUUUGAUGUGGGUAUGUUUGGUGUGAGUUGUUAAUAUACGAAAUGUUUUGUUCA